UACGGAGGGUGCAAGCGUUAUCCGGAUUUACUGGGUUUAAAGGGUGUGUAGGCGGACUUUUAAGUCAGCGGUGAAAUCUCCGGGCUCAACCCGGAAACUGCCAUUGAUACUAUUGGUCUUGAAUGUGUUGAGGUGGGCUGGAACGGGUCAGUGUAGCGGUGAAAUGCAUAGAUAUGACCCGGAACACCGAUUGCGAAGGCAGCCCACUAAGCAACGAUUGACGCUGAGGCAC
rnacentral:rRNA from 1 species